GGAACGGCAUUCAGCUCAUAGCGUAUAUUAAAGUUGCUGCAGUUAAAAAGCUCGUAGUUGAAUUUCGGGACCAUCAUGUCGGUCGUGCCUCGGUACGUACUGGCAUUGUCGGUUUCUCCCUUCUGACGAACCAUGAUGUCAUUUAUUUGGUGUUGUGGGAAAUCAGGACUGUUACUUUGAAAAAAUUAGAGUGUUUAAAGCAGGCA
rnacentral:rRNA from 1 species